GAUGAACGCUAGCGGCAGGCCUAACACAUGCAAGUCGAGGGGCAUCAUGGCGUAGCAAUACGCUGAUGGCGACCGGCGCACGGGUGCGUAACGCGUAUGGAACCUACCCACCGCAGGGGGAUAACCCGCCGAAAGGCGGACUAAUACCCCAUGGUUCCCCGACCCUGCCUGGGGUUGGGGGUAAAGCCUACGGGCGGCGGUGGAUGGCCCUGCGUGCCAUUAGCUGGCUGGUGGGGUAACGGCCCACCAGGGCGACGAUGGCUAGGGGGUCUGAGAGGACGAUCCCCCACACUGGUACUGAGACACGGACCAGACUCCUACGGGAGGCAGCAGUGAGGAAUAUUGGUCAAUGGGCGGAAGCCUGAACCAGCCAUGCCGCGUGCAGGAUGACGGCCCUACGGGUUGUAAACUUCUUUUGCAGGGGAAUAAAGUAUUCCACGAGAUGGGAUAUUGCAAGUACGCUGCGAAUAAGGAUCGGCUAACUCCGUGCCAGCAGCCGCGGUAAUA
rnacentral:rRNA from 1 species